GGGUGCGAUCAUAUCAUCAUUAAGGCACCGUAUCCCAUUAGGACUCCGUAGUUAAGCGAGCUUGGGCUAGAGUAGUACUAGGAUGGGUGACCUCCUGUGAAGUCCUAGUGUUGCACCCU
rnacentral:rRNA from 1 species